UGCAAGCCGAGCGGUAUGGAUCUUUCGGGAUCCAGAGAGCGGCGUACGGGUGCGGAACACGUGUGCAACCUGCCUUUAUCAGGGGGAUAGCCUUUCGAAAGGAAGAUUAAUACCCCAUAAUAUUUAGAAUGGCAUCAUUUUAAAUUGAAAACUCCGGUGGAUAGAGAUGGGCACGCGCAAGAUUAGAUAGUUGGUGAGGUAACGGCUCACCAAGUCUGCGAUCUUUAGGGGGCCUGAGAGGGUGAUCCCCCACACUGGUACUGAGACACGGACCAGACUCCUACGGGAGGCAGCAGUGAGGAAUAUUGGACAAUGGGUGCGAGCCUGAUCCAGCCAUCCCGCGUGAAGGACGACGGCCCUAUGGGUUGUAAACUUCUUUUGUAUAGGGAUAAACCUACCCUCGUGAGGGUAGCUGAAGGUACUAUACGAAUAAGCACCGGCUAACUCCGUGCCAGCAGCCGCGGUAAUACGGAGGGUGCAAGCGUUAUCCGGAUUUAUUGGGUUUAAAGGGUCCGUAGGCUGAUGUGUAAGUCAGUGGUGAAAUCUCACAGCUUAACUGUGAAACUGCCAUUGAUACUGCAUGUCUUGAGUGUUGUUGAAGUAGCUGGAAUAAGUAGUGUAGCGGUGAAAUGCAUAGAUAUUACUUAGAACACCAAUUGCGAAGGCAGGUUACUAAGCAACAACUGACGCUGAUGGACGAAAGCGUGGGGAGCGAACAGGAUUAGAUACCCUGGUAGUCCACGCCGUAAACGAUGCUAACUCGUUUUUGGGUUUUCGGAUUCAGAGACUAAGCGAAAGUGAUAAGUUAGCCACCUGGGGAGUACGAACGCAAGUUUGAAACUCAAAGGAAUUGACGGGGGCCCGCACAAGCGGUGGAUUAUGUGGUUUAAUUCGAUGAUACGCGAGGAACCUUACCAAGGCUUAAAUGGGAAAUGACAGGUUUAGAAAUAGACUUUUCUUCGGACAUUUUUCAAGGUGCUGCAUGGUUGUCGUCAGCUCGUGCCGUGAGGUGUUAGGUUAAGUCCUGCAACGAGCGCAACCCCUGUCACUAGUUGCCAUCAUUAAGUUGGGGACUCUAGUGAGACUGCCUACGCAAGUAGAGAGGAAGGUGGGGAUGACGUCAAAUCAUCACGGCCCUUACGCCUUGGGCCACACACGUAAUACAAUGGCCGGUACAGAGGGCAGCUACACAGUGAUGUGAUGCAAAUCUCGAAAGCCGGUCUCAGUUCGGAUUGGAGUCUGCAACUCGACUCUAUGAAGCUGGAAUCGCUAGUAAUCGCGCAUCAGCCAUGGCGCGGUGAAUACGUUCCCGGGCCUUGUACACACCGCCCGUCAAGCCAUGGAAGUCUGGGGUACCUGAAGUCGGUGACC
rnacentral:rRNA from 1 species